AGAGAAACUGGAUUUCCUGUUGAAACGAAGAUUCAAUGGAGGAAUUUAACAUGUAGUUGUACUGAUUCAUCACCAGAUAUUCCCGAAGAAAUCAAUGUUGAUGAUAAGAACUUCCUGUGCUGAUAAAUAUAUGGGUUCAGAGGGUCAUAUUUCUUUCGAACAUGGGAGAGAGAUGUAAAUGGAAAAGGCUUUGUUACGUGCAAAGCACGUGCACUCCACUUAUUUAACCUUAACUUGAGUAAUACAGGCAUUGGAUUUCACAUAUCCGUUUGAGCGAUCAUUGAGGUCGGGAAGAUUCAUAAAAUUCCGCCAUCCAUGCUUAGAUCCUGGCGUGGAUUUGUGUUUGUUACUGCAAAAGACAAAAGAUUAUCAAGGGUACAAACAGUGUGUAUAGUCACAUUAGCUGACAACAAGCAUAUUAAGAAGAUCAUGUUUUAUGGGCUACUAGAUUUUUGUCCAUGCUACGCACCGGGCAUAUUUUUUAUUUUAACUUGGUGUACGCAAGGCUUCAUCCAGUCUAUGGCGAUGUAUUUUUGAUUUGGUGAACGCGGGGAUUCGCCCCGUCCCGUGGCGAUAUAUUUUCGAUUUAGUGUGCGCGGGGCUUUAUCCCGCCCCUUGGUGAUGUAUUUUUUGAUUUGGCAAGCGCGGGGUUUCACCCCGCCACGUGGCGAUGUAUUUUUGAUUUGGUAUGCGCGGGGCUUCGUCCCCCGUGGACAUGUAUUUUUGAUUUGGUGUG